AAACAAUCAAAUGCAUACAUCUCAAGUUUAUACUUAACGCCUCUUGAGCUACACGAGUCACCAGCCAGCUCCAGCUCCGAGCAUCUCCACCGCUCCUGGAAGGCCCCUUGGCCCUCUGGCCCUGCCCACCUCCUGCCACAGAUACUGAAACCCCCACAGGUGGAAGAAACUGACUGCACGCUGAUCACAAGCACACAGACCCCAGAGUAGUUGAAGCCAGGUUGAUGGAGUUGACUCCUGAUUACCUCACCACCAACCAAUCAGAACAAUGUCCUCCAGCAGAUCACACACCCCAUGACACCUUCUCCCUCGCCA